GUCCAGAGUAGAAGCGGACAGGGAGGUGAUUAAAGCACAGAGACAACCUUUGGCCCACGCAGCAGACGCUCGGUUUUUUGAGGUGACACAGAUUCUUAAAAAGAGUCCACCCAGUCUGCCACAAUGCUGCAUCCUUUAAUCAUUGGCAUCAUGACCGUCAACACCUCUCUAACCGUCGUUUAUUGGGCCUUCCUCCUGAGCGAUGCAUACUUCAGUUGGCUGAUGGAGCCAGAAGACAAACCCAAGAAGGUGGUCACCCCGGCCUGAGAGUCACAGCUGAUAUGGACUGACUGAAAGACGGGGCUUUUUUUGUUUUUGUUUGCUUAGGACUAGUUAGAACAAGUAGUUCAGCUUGUAGUCCUUUCUGUGGAGGCUGAUUUUGCAAUUGAUCUGCUUCCUGUUUCACCUGGAGAAGACUUGGAAACCCUUCUCUUAACAAAAUUUUUUCACUGAACUGAAUGGAUCCUGCAAGUAAAUGAGAAAGGAGUCAUUCUUAAGACCCGUCUGUGUAGGACACAUGCUAAUUUGGAAGUCCUUUCAUUCACAAGCCAAAGAGAAGAACUGAGGGGCCGUUACAGGUCUUAAUAACAAGACUGGAUUCUUGGCCCCAAACCAGUGGAGGAUGAUUCAGAGGAAGGGAGAGCAGAAAUAGAAGAAGAGCGGCGGCUGAGCAUUUGCAGUAAGCUGAUGGAGAAAGACAUGCUGAUGAUGGAGAAGGAAAAGGACGGCCCGCUGCCCGGUUUCUACUGGUUAGACGGAGGCUGCCACCACCCAUCUACCCCUCCUCCUCCUCUGAAAAGCGCCAUGGCUUCAUCAUACCCUGGAGAAAAAAGGAUAUCUACUCAUAGUGUGACCUUCGCCAGCCCCGUGACCCCUUACGCCACUUCCCUUUGAGUUUUCACUUUGUCACAGCAGUGGUUCAGAUCAGUUUUUGUCACGUCAUAUCUUAGUGUUGUCUCUUUGCUGUAGUGACGCGUAAGCUAAAGCAUUUUUUUUUUGUUUUAUAUAAAACAUGUUGUUAUAGUUUGUACUCAUUUUGCUAAGAUUACUUAUUAAAGAUGGAUGUAAACAUGGCUUUUAUUGUCAGUCAUUCCAAAUACAGUGCUCUAUAUUGUUGUAGGCUGCAAAGAAUGUAAAUUAUGAACCAUGUAAACUUCAAAGCUGUAAAAAUACACAUUUUAUUUCAGUUGUUGACAUAUAAAUCCAAAGACUGUAUAACUUGAAAUCACUUUCCAAUUAAAAUGUUAAAUUUCCUGAAGAAAGUUUAGUAAAACUACAGAUGAAUUGCAGUUUCUGUGCAUUUUUUUUCACCGACCAGUCAAACUGUCCUGUUGUGGUGUUGGACCAAGCUUCUCUCCAGUAAACAACUGAAUAAUACAA